GAUGAACGCUGGCGGCGUGCCUAACACAUGCAAGUCGAACGGAGAUUACGGACGGAAGUUUUCGGAUGGAAGACUGUAAUUCUUAGUGGCGGACGGGUGAGUAACGCGUGGGCAACCUGCACUAUACAGGGGGAUAGCAGCUGGAAACGGCUGGUAAGACCGCAUAAGUCGGCGAGACCGCAUGGUUUUGCCGGGAAAUGAGCAAUCAGGUAUAGGAUGGGCACUCGUCCGAUUAGCCAGUUGGCAGGGUAAAAGCCUACCAAAGCAACGAUCGGUAGCCGGACUGAGAGGCCGGACGGACACAUUGGGACUGAGACACGGCCCAAACUCCUACGGGAGGCAGCAGUGCGGGAUAUUGCAAAAUGGAGGAAACUCUGAUGCAGCGACGCCGCGUGAGUGAAGAAGUAUUUCGGUAUGUAAAGCGCUAUCAGCAGGGAAGAUGAUGACGGUACCUGACCAAGAAGCCCCGGCUAACUACGUG
rnacentral:rRNA from 1 species